AACGAACGCUGGCGGCAGGCCUAAAACAUGCAAGUCGAACGCUGUAGCAAUACAGAGUGGCGCACGGGUGAGUAACACGUGGGAAUGUGCCUUUUGGUACGGAACAACUUUUGGAAACGAAAGCUAAUACCGUAUGGUCCCUUCGGGGUAAAGAUUUAUCGCCAAAAGAGCAGCCCGCGUCUGAUUAGCUAGUUGGUGAGGUAAUGGCUCACCAAGGCGACGAUCAGUAGCUGGUCUGAGAGGACGAUCAGCCACACUGGGACUGAGACA
rnacentral:rRNA from 1 species